CAAAAGAUAAGCUAAUUAUAAGCUAAUGGGUUCAUACCUCAUUUAUGGACGUAUUCCUCUUUUUA
rnacentral:tRNA from 1 species